AAAUACUACUAUUGCCGCAUAUAUACAAUACUAUACAUAUGUAUAUAUUGUAAGGACGUGCAUGCGGCUGUCUGUCGAACGGUACUCGUCGUCGCCGUCGCGAAACGUCGACGUGAUUCCCGUUUCAGUAAAGAAUGAAGUGAUAGCAACAUGUAACAAUAUGUACGUAUCGUUGUACCGAAUGCAAUAUGUAAUCGUGUGACUGUACGCUAGUGAUCAUUACUUACCAUCGUCGGUUUUGAUUCUCAAUGGGUAUCAUUGAUGGAAUCGCCUGGCAUGAAAUAGUCGUCGAUGGAUGACGUGUGUUGCUCAGUAAUGAUGACUAUGAACACUAGAUUAGUCGCAAAUAGAUUACACAUUUGUAUUUAAAAUUGUACGAUGCAACCUGAACUCAGACGUGAUUACCCGCUGAACUUAAGCAUAUCAUUUAGCGGAGGAAAAAAAACCUAU
rnacentral:rRNA from 1 species